CACCGGAUCCCAUCAGAACUCCGAAGUUAAGCGUGCUUGGGCGAGAGUAGUACUAGGAUGGGUGACCUCCUGGGCGGUCCUCGUGUUGCACCCCU
rnacentral:rRNA from 1 species